GUAGUGCAUUUGGGAGAGGAAGAAAAGAGCAGUGGUGGCGGUGGCGAGGGCGGACGGGGUGGGCUGGGCAGCAGCAAAAGCUAACGGCGGAGAAGGAUGUGCCCUUCCCACACGAAGGGGCUGGCGCACUGUCUAGCGCGAGGCGGAGCCAAGGUUUUUUGGGACCGGGCUUCGGGGCUUGCUUGUUUGCUUGCUUCAACGUGGGGAAAGGGGGGGCCCAAACGCGCGCGAGGGAAAGGGAAGAGAAGAUUCCGAGAGGAGGAAUGAAAAGCUCCCGGAGGAAGCGAAAAAAGAACAAAACAAAAGAACAGCACGAACCGAGGGCUUACCGGAGCUGACGCUCGCCGUUGUUUAAUACUGCCUGCGUGUGUCGCGCGGGCACGGUUUUUCGCUGCAUUCGCCGAGAGCAACGCGCCUUCCGACAACAAAACGGCCACCCCGCCCACACCGGUCGAGCCGAGCACUAACAGAAUUCAACGCCAUGUCUCAGCUGAAAAGAGCCCAAGCACGAUACCGGGACCAUCGCGGGCCGGGAGAGCCCUGCCUAGCGACUAGCAUCGUCGAGCGGAGAGACGUACGACGACGAAGAGGUUGCGGCAGUGGACGGGAGGCAAUGAAACAAACAUACAAACGGCCGCCGGUCAUCGACGCAUGGGCAGGACGACGGUGGCGCGGCGACGAACGCUUCUGCCAAAAACGGGUCGGUUGGAUAGCUUGCCUUCUGAGAAGCAGCAGCAGCAGCAGCGGCGGCGGUAACAGUCCGAAGACGCUUGGCACCAGCGCAAUCGGGAGAAACCUUCCACACACGGCUCGGUCGCGUCGCCAUCUGAUUCCUUAGCAGGAGAGAGAAGCGCAGAAACGCGUGACGUCACGCAUUUUUGGUCGCACGAGCGCCGAAAAACCCGGGACGGCACCGCGAACGAAAAUAAUUUCUCCGCGUAUCAUUUUAAAGCCGAAUUGUGACGAGUUCAAUUUGAGGAAGCGUUAAUUGGCUCCAACGGACCUCGAAAAGUGCUGUUACGCUUUCGCCCAGCCCCGUCGCGAGGGUGCCCCGGGAGCCCACGUUACGCAAAUGCUGCGCUGACGUCACGAGCUCUUCCAGCCAACCGCGCGCCGGCAAAGCUUCACCACAGGGUGAAGCUUUCUCUGCGCCAGCCAAUGAGAGCACGGUCGGAUAUUGGCAUGUUACAUGACGGACGGACGCAAUGGCCAACGGUGGCGGCGGCAGCAGAUGCGUAGCAUAACAAACAUGGCGGCCACCUUGUCGGAGGACUGCUCGGCCAGGGCAAGGGGCGCCCGCCGUCGGCGCUGCUGCUACGGCUCCGGCUCGUCGUUGUCCGCGAAAGUGGUGUCUCCGGAGUGACGUGCCCGCCAGCGACGCACGAAGAGAGCGCUACAGAAAGCGAGAAGCUCAGUGUGGGACGCCCGGGGACGCCGUGGCAAGCAGGAGCGUUCUCGGAUGGACCGAGACGCUGUUGGCUCUGUGUAGCGCGCCCCAGUCUCAACCAACGGAGGCCCACAACCAAUCUGCCCUCAGUAGCAAAUCAGAGUUCUGCAUGGCCUAUUCCAUGUUUUCGGAAUGUUCAACCCAGGCACCUUUGCAAUGGAUGAUGGGGGCCGAUGUCUGCUUGACGUUAUAAACGACCCCCUGCUGCUGCAGUCGUUCCUUGAAGACAAGAACGAGGAGGUUUCAAAGGAGCUCAGCUCGCUCGAAAGUGUCCUGCUCGGCCGAGACGAAGUGAGCAGCACCACCAGCUGCCUGCCGGCCCGCUGUGAGCUGCCGGACUCCAUGGGCUACGGCUGCUCGGGCACUGACAAACCCGUGGCCGCUGCCCUCGCCGUCUCCGCGACCAGCACCGUCGCCGUCUCGGACGUCUCGGCCGCCUCGCCCCAGCUGCUGGUCAGCUCUACGGUGCCCCCCGCUCCGCCGCCGCCUGCUGCCCCAACUGCUGCUGCCAGCAAUGGCCUGCCUGGUGCCUCGCCACAUUCCACUCGCUCCUCCCCAGCCAGCAGCCGAUCACACUCGGCAUCCCCGCUCCCCGCCGCCCCCACCCCCGUCUCGUGGUCUUCGCCGGGCCCCAUCGCCGUGUCGCGGAGCCAGUCGCUGUCCUCGUCGUCGGCGUCAACGCCAGCAACCACCAAGGCGACCGCCACCGUUGCGCCCUUGCCCGUGGCACCGCAGCAGGCGCCUCCGUCUAGACCCAACGCCGGGCAGGUGGUAUCGGGUAGUCCCAGCCCCCGCACGGCUGGCGCCCCUCGUCUCAUCCAGCCGAAGCAGCCACAGAUCCUUCCCAAGCUGUCCAGCGGCAGUGCCAACAUGACAACACCCGCAGCGACCGCGACCACCCGGUCCCAGUCUCCCCGGGCGGCACAGCACAAGGCCACACCGCAGCCCGCGCCCGUACCAGCACCGCAGCCUGCGACAGCGGUGCAGCGCGGAGCCGCGAUGGGGCUCAACACGGGGAGUCCGCUGCUCAUUGGGAACCCUGGCGCAGCGCAGGCAGGCAUGUUUCAAGCUGGACCUGCGCAGGGCACUUUCCUGCUGAACCAGUACAUUCCGGGCCUGGGCCAAAGCCCCAUCCUGAUCCAGGGCUCGCUGGGCCAGAUCCAGGGCUCACUAGGGCAGAUACAGGGGCUCCAGCUGUCCCUGCGGCCACCCCAUGCCACGGGCCUGUCCCUGGGUCCCCAGGCAGGGCACAAGCCCCAUGGGGGCCACCCGGGACAGCCUGGCACCCCAACACUGGUCAUCCCUCAGAACCUGGGUCCGCGGCCCAACUUCAUCCUGGCGCCACGCAUGGUCUCGUCGCCCCUGCAGUUUGCCAUUGCACCGGGACAGCCCCUGACGUUGCAGCAGCUGCAGGCCAUGCUGCCCGCACAGACCAUGCUGGCCCAACCCACACUGGGCGCGUUCCAGACAGACCAGCACCAAGGACUGAUGCAGAUACCAACGUUCACCCAGCCACAGAUACUGGCGCACGACCACCACCAUCACCACCACCACCACCAUCAUGGCGCCCUGUCGGCACCCCUCAUCUCAACGGGUGGCACCAUGGUAUCCUCCGCACCCUCUGCCAACCUUGUCGCCCAUCAUCCAGUCAUGACCACCACAACUGUGCUGCAUCCGGCACCACCGCAACCUGCCCCAGUGCCUGUCUCGGCAGCCAUGACGUCGGCAACGAUGCAGCAGCAGCCGCAGGCACGUACGACAGCGUCACCAGCCGCGGAGAAAGUGAAGGCGCCCUCAGUCAAUCUGGCCGAGUUGCUCAAGGAACACGGAAUCAUGCCGGAGUCAACACCUCCGCCCUCCCCUACGUCCAAUCAGGAUAGCACCAUAUCAGUCGACGUUCCCGUGACACCAGCACCAGUCACAGAGAAUGUGCAGGUCGUGGUAAGCAAGUCUCCGCAGACCGUGGCAGUGUCUCCCCAGCAGCGGGUGCAGCUUUCAUUGGCACAUGACGGUAGCGUCGUACUGCACCCUCAUGGCAGCAACCUGUCCUCCAUGCCUGCACCAGUGCAGUCCCCGGGGCUGGUGGCAACAACCGUCACUCCCACGUCGACGAGCGCACCCGGCGCGACGGCUCUCUCGCGGACCCAUUCGGCCCUCCUGGAGCGUCUCUCCGCAGCGCCGCCCGUCAGCGUGCCAGACCUAGCCUCCCUAACUGCACCACGCGUCUCUGUCAGUGCACCGACCAUGGUGGCAGCUCCAUCGCUCGUUGCACCCUCGGUGAUGACGCCUUCUAUGAUGGCCGCAAAUACGCACCCUCACCAGCUCACCCUGCACACCGUCAACAACGGACUGGUACCGGCGCAGCAGCUGGGUCAGCCACAGUCGUUUGUGACGCUGCACGGCACGGCGGUGGCCAAUAUGCUGUGCCACGGUAAUAACACGCGCAUCAACCACAUUGUGGUCAGCCCGUCACCGUCCCUGGGACACCAGCAGCAGCAGCAGCACCACCACCAUCAGCAUGCUCUGCACCACACUUGUCACGCCGUGGGAAACACGGCUGUGGUGAGCUCGGUGGCCAGUGCCGUGGUGCCAACGACGACGACAACAGCGGUGAUGGCGUCAUCGCCAACGAUGGUGGGUAGGACAGCGGUGCCAACAUCCAUGCCGCACACGGUGGUGACUGUGGCUGCGUGCCCCACUGUGACGACUGUGACUGUGACGCCCACGGUGAUCGUGACGACAUCGAACAGUAGUGCAACGGCACACACGAGUGGGAAGUGUACAGCGCCCAUGAACUCUCAAAACCAACAGCUCUACGAGCAGCUGCAGUCACAGAUAACCUACCUGAACUCCCUGAAGAAGCCCACGAUGCAGCAGAAGCUCCUGCUGCAGCAAAUGCUCUCCAUCGAGGAGAAGCUGCGGGAUUCCAACAAGCCGCAAGUGAGCUCCUCGUCCAACGACACCACCACAGCAGCCGCAGUGCCCACAUCACACGCACACUGCAUGCAGCGGCAUGAAGUCAAGCCAACCGUCGUUUCGCACCCGAUGCCUGCUGCGGCCACCAUAAUAACAGUGAAGCCAUCCGCGGUGACGACGGUCCAAGUGCCCACAAUCACUGUUGCCACGACGACGAGGACUAACAGCCGUACCACACACCACAAGGUCAACCAUGCCGAUGUCAAGCCGAAGGCUUCCAUCCUGCAUGCUGGGAACACAGCAUCUAUAAUCGCCACGCAAAAGGCCAUCACCUCCCAUUCCGGACCGGUGCGAAUAAUAGCCACUGCGCCGACCACCACGAGCGCUGCUUGUGCCUCUUCUACCUGUUCCUCCGCUCCUUGCUCUUCUGUGUCGGCACUGAGCGUGCCGCUGGCAUCGGCCUCCCCACUGCGGUCUUCACCAAGUGUGGCACCCGUGUCGUCUGCGUCACUGGUGUCAAGUGUGCCACUGGUCUCCGCGGCACCACUAGCAUCUAGCGGGCCCAUGUUAUCAACUGCAUCAUUGGCAUCAUCAAGCCUAACACCCGUGUCGAGCGCCUCUCUGGUGCCCAGCUUGCCGGUGGCAUCAAAUGCACCAUUGGUGUCAAGCAUACCGACCGUGUCAACUGCCCCAGCACUGGCGCCAACCAUGCCAGUGGUGUCUUGCGCGCCAUCAGCACCUGCUGCACCUCUGGUGUCGAACAUGCCAGUGGUGUCAUGCAUUCCGCCGUCACCUACUGCACCUCUGUCAAGCAUGCCGGUGGUGUCAUGCAUUCCAUCGGCACCUUCUCAAUCUCCGGUGUCAAACACCCUAGUGGUGUCAUGCGCUCCAUCAUCGCAUACUGCACCUAUGGUGUCGAACAUGCCGGUGGUGUCAUCGUGCAUUCCAUCGACACCUAUGGUGUCUAAACUGCCAGUGGUGUCAUGCGCUCCAUUCAGCACCUACUGCACCUCUGGUGUCAAGCAAGCCAAUGGUAUCAUGCUUACCUCCAGUAUCCACAUCGGCAUUGGUUUCAAGCAUACCACAAGUGUCAGCUGCAAUCUCGGUGUCUAGUGCACCGCAUAUUUCUGGUACGCUGUUGGUGUCGACGGCAGCACUAAUGUCAAGUCCAUCGCUAUUGGCAUCAAGUACACCGUUGAUGUCAUCUGCACCACUGGUAUCUACAGCACAGUUGGUGUCGUCUGCACCACUGAUGUCGACCGCAUCACUGAUGUCCUCAGCACCUAUGACAUCGACUGCACCUAUGGUGUCAUAUGCAUCUCUAGUGUCCAGUGCGCCAGUGGUGUCAACGGCUCCAAUUAUGGCGCCAAGCACGACUGACAUGACAGUGCCAUCGAUGGCCUCUCACCCUGUGGCCACAGUGGCCUCCCAUCUACGUGUUCCUAACCAGGCCUCGUCCAAGUUUGUGCCGCAGUUGCACCACGCUGUGCACCAUCACCACCACCACCACCACCACCUCCAGCCAUCACCGGUGGCAAGCAGCGUGCCGCCAGUCAACCAGC
rnacentral:misc_RNA from 1 species